UUGGACUGCGAAUGGCUCAUUAUAUCAGUUAUAGUUUAUUUGGUGAAGUGUACUACUUGGAUAACCGUAGUAAUUCUAGGGCUAAUACAUGAGAAAGUCCUCUGGUGAGGUGUGUUUAUUAGAAUGAAAACCAUAUGCUUCGGCAUGAUAGUGAGUAAUAGUAACCUAUCGUAUCGCAUGCUUAAUGUAGCGAUGAGUCUUUCAAGUUUCUGCCCUAUCAGCUUUCGAUGGUAGUAUAUGGGCCUACCAUGGCAGUAACGGGUAACGAAGAA
rnacentral:rRNA from 1 species